UCUCCGUUGGUGAACCAGCGGAGGGAUCAUUGUUGGAACUGUGUCCUCACGGGCACAACCCCAGAUACCCUUUGUGAACUUAUACCCAUACAUCGUUGCCUCGGCGCUGAGCCCGGGAGCCGGCCUCCUCUUCUGGAGCCGUGCUCCCCCCGAGACCGCGCAAGCGGCCCUCUGGAGCAGGCCCGCCGGCGGCCCACCAAACUCUUUGUUUCUAGAACGUAUCUCUUCUGAGUUUUUAUAUAAACAAAUGAAUCAAAACUUUCAACAACGGAUCUCUUGGUUCUGGCAUCGAUGAAGAACGCAGC
rnacentral:misc_RNA from 1 species